rnacentral:rRNA from 1 species
AUUGAACGCUGGCGGCAGGCCUAACACAUGCAAGUCGAACGAGUGGCGGACGGGUGAGUAAUGUCUGGGAAACUGCCCGAUGGAGGGGGAUAACUACUGGAAACGGUAGCUAAUACCGCAUACCAUCGGAUGUGCCCAGAUGGGAUUAGCUAGUAGGUGGGGUAGCGGCUCACCCAGGCGACGAUCCCUAGCUGGGCUGAGAGGAUGACCAGGUACCCUGGAUCUCAGCCUCGGUACAGACGCCGACGUGAGGCAGCAGGGGAGAAUAUGGCACCAUGGGCGCAGGACUGAUGCAGCCAUGCCGCGAGUAUGAAGAAGGCGUUCGGGUUGGAAAGUACUUUCAGCGAGGAGGCGUUACUCGCAGAAGAAGCCCCGGCUAACUCCGUGCCAGCAGCCGCGGUAAUUC